UACGGAGGAUGCGAGCGUUAUCCGGAUUUAUUGGGUUUAAAGGGUGCGUAGGCGGGUUAUCAAGUCAGCGGUAAAAUCGUGGAGCUCAACUCCAUCCAGCCGUUGAAACUGAUGAUCUUGAGUGGGCGAGAAGUAUGCGGAAUGCGUGGUGUAGCGGUGAAAUGCAUAGAUAUCACGCAGAACUCCGACUGCGAAGGCAGCAUACCGGCGCCCGACUGACGCUGAAGCACGAAAGCGUGGGUAUCGAACAGG
rnacentral:rRNA from 1 species